rnacentral:rRNA from 1 species
GGUGAACGCUGGCGGCGUGCCUAAUACAUGCAAGUCGAGCGAACGGACGAGAAGCUUGCUUCUCUGAUGUUAGCGGCGGACGGGUGAGUAACACGUGGAUAACCUACCUAUAAGACUGGGAUAACUUCGGGAAACCGGAGCUAAUACCGGAUAAUAUUUUGAACCGCAUGGUUCAAAAGUGAAAGACGGUCUUGCUGUCACUUAUAGAUGGAUCCGCGCUGCAUUAGCUAGUUGGUAAGGUAACGGCUUACCAAGGCAACGAUGCAUAGCCGACCUGAGAGGGUGAUCGGCCACACUGGAACUGAGACACGGUCCAGACUCCUACGGGAGGCAGCAGUAGGGAAUCUUCCGCAAUGGGCGAAAGCCUGACGGAGCAACGCCGCGUGAGUGAUGAAGGUCUUCGGAUCGUAAAACUCUGUCAUUAGGGAAGAACAUAUGUGUAAGUAACUGUGCACAUCUUGACGGUACCUAAUCAGAAAGCCACGGCUAACUACGUG